UCUCUUUUUCACUCAAUAAUCCGAACCCUUGAUCUCUUUUUUAAUUUAUGUAUUGCGCGCUUUAAAAAAUUUUAAAUAUAUCCUAUACCCUAACUGAUAUCAUCGAUAUGGUACUGGUAGGGUGUAAGUUAAUGAAUAUUUUUUAUGAGAUGAAAGAUUUUUUUAUCAUAUGGGAAAGUCUGUAGUAACGUACCCUAAAUAUGAAAAUCAAACCGGCCGAUUGAUGCAUUCCUAGCUUUUUAAGAAAUUCGUUUUUCUUCUUCUUGUUGAUUGCCUGUAACUUCUUCCCCAGCCCAACAUUCCAACACUCCCUCGUGUUGACUGCCUGUAAUUUCUUGUUGAUUACCUUCCAACAUUCCCUCGUCUUGAUCUUUAGUUCUCUCUCCUUUGUCCAGACCUUAAUACAUACCUGACCGAUCGACAUUGUCGAUUGAUAUCCGUAAUAUAUAUUGGAAACAACAGAAAUUAAGAUACUAUAUAUAGCGGUCGGAUAUAAUCAAAUUAAAGCAGAAGAAAGAUUGUCAAAGAAGCUAGCCAGGUACCAUUACCAUUACCAUUUGUUGAUACUCAUGUGUUGUAUCAACGCACGUAGUAGAGUUGGCUUAUAUGCUUCUUUGGUUCUCUGUUCUUCCGUCCCCUUGUUCAUGCUAUUUCCGGAUUAUAAAUACCCCCUUCUUAUUACCCCAGUCGAUCGACACCUGUCUCGACAUUUGUCUUCUUCAGUUAGACAGCUGUGAUUACGCGUGUUCUGCUCUGAUUGGUGGGUUGGGACUAUAAUAUGGAUGUUCGGAUACCAACACCAACACCAACACCAUUACCAUUAUGGUUUAUGGGGACUAAUUUGGUCUUGUCUAGCAGCAACGUACGAUUUGACAUGCAUCUACGGAGGAGGGGACGCUGAUCGACAUACCAGAUUAAUGAAGCAGCGUGAACAUCGAUCGAUCUACAGAGUACAUUUCGAGAGGACAAAUACAAGGCAUCUCGCCUGGAGGCAUUGCCAUGAACCCAUAGCUAGCUAGUGCUAGUAUUAUAGUUUAUUAAUUUGCUUUUAAUUUAUGAUUAAGUAACAUAAAAAAAGAGAUCGAUGAUCUCAUAUAGGGACACCAUCAUUGGCUAAUAUUAUGUCCUACUGCUUUCCCCAUCAUUGAACUACGUCGAGGACCGUCGGAUGACAAUCAACUACUAAGACGGAUCGAGGUUCAAUGGCACAUUCAAUGCAUACUCGAUGUUUUACCUAUAUAAAUAUACAAGAUCAACUACUAUUAGCAUACAUGGUUAUUUUCUGCGAUUUCUCCUUCUGCUCUUUGCCAAAUUACUGCUUUUAAAACAUCCUUUGAUGUAUGGACUGCUCUAGCUGCAAUUUUUAACACAAAAUCAAAAGCUAGGAUUCUUCAAUUAAAUAAUCAAUUACAAACUUUUCAAAAGAAUGAUCUCACUGCUGACAACUAUGUAGCACGACUUACAGUCAUGGCUGAAGAACUAAGAGAGGCCGGAGUUGAGAUCAGCGACAGUGAGCUGUCGUUGAUUGCCCUAAAUGACUUGGAUAAUUCAUACGAAUCCUUUGCAACAACAAAGACGACAAGAAUAGAAGAUAUUAGUUUUGAGUCAUUUCUUGGGCUCCUACGAGGCUACGAAAUCCGAUUGAAUAAAUCAAUUGAAUCUAAAGGUAUUGCCAUGACAAAUUCAUUACAAGCAACCCUUUUAGACACAACAGUUGUGAUUUGUCAAAUUUUCUCAAAACGUGGACACUCGGCAAUUCAGUGUUUCAAACGUCAAAACGAACAACGCUUUCCCACUCAAUAGUCAAAAGGUAGGAACCGUAUGCCAUUUGGUAACCGAUAUAGAGGAGGAAGGUCGAAUCAGCAAUCACAUGCAAAUGCUAUCUGGUACCCCGAUACGGGGGCCUCAUCAUGUAACAGGUGAAACUAUAAACAUUCAGAAUUCAGACACUGAAUUAGUCGCACGAUCAGUUGUGAUUGCAAACGGUAAAUCCCUUCCUAUAUCUAAAUCUGGGAGGUUUAAUGUAUAUCUUGGUUCACGUUCGGUU
rnacentral:lncRNA from 1 species